rnacentral:rRNA from 1 species
CAUCGCCUCCUGACAAAUAUAGGAGGUCCAGCCUGCCCAGUGACAAAGUUCAACGGCCGCGGUACCCUAACCGUGCGAAGGUAGCAUAAUCACUUGUUCUUUAAAUGAGGACUAGUAUCAACGGCACCACGAGGACUCUACUGUCUCCUCCCUCCAAUCAGUGAAACUGAUCCCCCCGUGAAGAAGCGGGGAUUAUUCUAUAAGACGAGAAGACCCCAUGGAGCUUUAAACCCAAUAGGCAUCUCUGCAAACUUAAACCACCUUAGCCUUAGAGAUAUGCACUAUUAGUUUUAGGCUGGGGUGACCGCGGAGUAAAACUAAACCUCCACGACAAACGGGCUAACGCCCUGAUCUACGAACCACACUUCUAAGAACCAAUAUAUUGUUGUCCAAUGACCCAAUUAUAUGAUCAACGAACCAAGUUACCCUGGGGAUAACAGCGCAAUCUACUUCAAGAGCCCCUAUCGACAAGUAGGUUUACGACCUCGAUGUUGGAUCAGGGUAUCCCAGUGGCGCAACCGCUACUAAAGG